rnacentral:rRNA from 1 species
AACGAACGCUGGCGGCAUGCUUAUCACAUGCAAGUCGAACGGGCGCCUUCGGGCGUUAGUGGCGCACGGGUGAGUAACGCGUGGGAACCUGUCAUGAAGUGGGGAACAACCACUGGAAACGGUGGCUAAUACCGCAUACGCCCUGAGGGGCAAAGGCUUCGGCCGCUUUGUGAGAGGCCCGCGUCCGAUUAGCUAGUUGGUGGGUAACGGCCUACCAAGGCUACGAUCGGUAGCUGGUCUGAGAGGAUGAUCAGCCACACUGGGACUGAGACACGGCCCAGACUCCUACGGGAGGCAGCAGUGGGAAUAUUGGACAAUGGGCGAAAGCCUGAUCCAGCAAUGCCGCGUGAGUGAAGAAGGCCUUAGGGUUGUAAAGCUCUUUCGCCUGCGACGAUGAUGACGGUAGCAGGAGAAGAAGCCCGGCUAAUCCGUGCCAGCAGCCGCGGUAAU